CACGAGCUCAGGCUCUGCCUUUGAAAUAUGGAAUCCUAACAAUGCCUGCCACAUAGCAGGAAAAAGGAGCAUCUUGCCCAAGUUGUCCCAGCCACCAACUUGGGACCAUGAGAGGAGCCAGACUGAGAACAAAAUUGACAGAGAGAGAAGGGCUGAAGCCAAAGAGUGGUAAGAAAAACGUCAGAAAGUGACACACUGUACCUUCAUCCCUGACUACUGGUUACACAAGAUGCUUUAAAAUCCCUCUAAACCCCACAAGGCACACCAGAGAGAGAAUUCAAGGAAGAGCAAAAACAAAAUCUGGUAUUCUCUGGAGGUUUUGCAUGUUACACUAAGUUCUCCCGGCACCCCACUGAAAGUGUUUAUUCUUUACAAAUGUUUGUUAUCCAUGAUGGAUCUCGAUGAAAGGAAGAAAAAGG